rnacentral:rRNA from 1 species
GAAUUCGCCCUUAGAGUUUGAUCCUGGCUCAGGAUGAACGCUGGCGGCGUGCCUAAUACAUGCAAGUCGAACGGACUAAAUAAGAGCUUGCUCUUAUGCGGUCAGUGGCGAAUGGGUGAGUAAUACGUAAGCAACCUACCUUAAUGACUGGGAUAACCUUUGGAAACGAAGGCUAAUACCGGAUAAAGGAAGUGAGGGCAUCUUCACUUCAUAAAAGUUGGGAUACAACACAUUGAGAUGGGCUUAUGGCGCAUUAGUUAGUUGGUGAGGUAACGGCUCACCAAGACGAUGAUGCGUAGCCGACCUGAGAGGGUGACCGGCCACACUGGGACUGAGACACGGCCCAGACUCCUACGGGAGGCAGCAGUGGGGAAUAUUGCGCAAUGGGGGGAACCCUGACGCAGCAACGCCGCGUGAAGGAUGAAGGCUUUCGGGUUGUAAACUUCUUUGAUUGGGGACGAAUAAUGACUGUACCCAAAAAACAAGCCACGGCUAACUACGUGCCAGCAGCCGCGGUAAUACGUAGGUGGCAAGCGUUGUCCGGAAUUACUGGGUGUAAAGGGCGUGUAGGCGGGGAUGCAAGUCAGAUGUGAAAUUCCGGGGCUCAACUCCGGAGCUGCAUCUGAAACUGUAUCUCUUGAGUGUUGGAGAGGAAAGUGGAAUUCCUAGUGUAGCGGUGAAAUGCGUAGAGAUUAGGAGGAACACCAGUGGCGAAGGCGGCUUUCUGGACAAUAACUGACGCUGAGGCGCGAAAGCGUGGGGAGCAAACAGGAGUAGAUACCCUGGUAGUCCACGCCGUAAACGAUGGAUACUAGGUGUAGGAGGUAUCGUCCCCUUCUGUGCCGGAGUUAACACAAUAAGUAUCCCACCCGGGGAGUACGGCCGCAAGGUUGAAAUUCAAAGGAAAUGACGGGGGCCCGCACAAGCAGUGGAGUACGUGGUUUAAUUUGAAGCAACGCGAAGAACCUUACCAGGGCUUGACAUCCCUCGAAAGCAGUAGAGAUACAGAUUAUUUUCUGAGCAAGGAGACAGGUGGUGCAUGGUUGUCGUCAGCUCGUGUCGUGAGAUGUUGGGUUAAGUCCCGCAACGAGCGCAACCCCCGUUGUUAGUUGCCAUCAUUAAGUUGGGCACUCUAGCGAGACUGCCGGUGACAAAUCGGAGGAAGGUGGGGGGGACGUCAAACCAUCAUGCCCCUUAUGUCUUGGGCUACACACGUACUACAAUGGCUGUUACAGAGGGAAGGUAAUUCGCGAGGAGGAGCAAACCCCUAAAGGCAGCCCCAGUUCGGAUUGCAGGCUGAAACUCGCCUGCAUGAAGUCGGAAUUGCUAGUAAUGGCAGGUCAGCAUACUGCCGUGAAUAAAUUCCCGGGCCUUGUACACACCGCCCGUCA